rnacentral:rRNA from 1 species
GUGGGGGAUAUUGCACAAUGGGGGAAACCCUGAUGCAGCGACGCCGCGUGAAGGAAGACGUACUUCGGUAUGUAAACUUCUAUCAGCAGGGAAGAAGAUGACGGUACCUGACUAAGAAGCCCCGGCUAACUACGUGCCAGCAGCCGCGGUAAUACGUAGGGGGCAAGCGUUAUCCGGAUUUACUGGGUGUAAAGGGAGCGUAGACGGUGAAGCAAGUCUGAUGUGAAAACCCGGGGCUCAACUCCGGGAGUGCAUUGGAAACUGUUUUACUUGAGUGCUGGAGGGGCAAGCGGAAUUCCUGGUGUAGCGGUGAAAUGCGUAGAUAUCAGGAAGAACACCGGUGGCGAAGGCGGCUUGCUGGACAGUAACUGACGUUGAGGCUCGAAAGCGUGGGGAGCAAACAGGAUUAGAAACCCGGGUAGUCC